UACGGAGGGUGCGAGCGUUGUCCGGAAUCACUGGGCGUAAAGGGCGCGUAGGCGGCGCGGGGAGUCAACGGUGAAAGCUCGGCGCUCAACGCCGAGUCGGCCGUCGAUACUCCCGUGCUUGAGCACUGUAGAGGCAGGUGGAAUUCCGGGUGUAGCGGUGGAAUGCGUAGAGAUCCGGAAGAACACCGGUGGCGAAGGCGGCCUGCUGGGCAGUAGCUGACACUGAGGCGCGACAGCGUGGGGAGCAAACAGG
rnacentral:rRNA from 1 species